rnacentral:snoRNA from 1 species
UUAAAAAGUGUUGAGUUCAGUUCAGGGUAGCUUCCCUGUUCUGUUCAUUAAACUCUGGGACAUCAAAACACAGGCUAAGGGAGAUGACUGGAUAGAAAGUAUUGCUCUAUUCCAAGCAUGUCAAAUUUAAAGAC